CAGCCAUGCCGCGUGUGUGAUGAAGGUCCUCCGAUUGUAAAGCACUUUAAGUUGGGAGGAAGGGUUGUAGAUUAAUACUCUGCAAUUUUGACGUUACCGACAGAAUAAGCACCGGCUAACUCUGUGCCUGCAGCCGCGGUAAUACAGAGGGUGCAAGCGUUAAUCGGAAUUACUGGGCGUAAAGCGCGCGUAGG
rnacentral:rRNA from 1 species